rnacentral:tRNA from 1 species
GUGCGCCGCCUUGGCAAAGGUCUACCCUGACACGGUAGAGGCCCCAGGUUCGACUCCUGGUGCGCCCACCA